GCGAACAUACCAGUACUAAUGCACCGGAUCCCAUCAAAACUCCGCAGUUAAGCGCGCUUGGGCGAGAGUAGUACUAGGAUGGGUGAGCCCCUGGGAAUUGCUCGUGUUGCACCCC